rnacentral:siRNA from 1 species
UUACUUAACAGUAGGGUAUCUUAC